GGGGGUUUAGCUCAGCGGCAUAAGCGCCUGCCUUGAAAGCAGGAAGUCGUGAGUUCGAUCCCCG
rfam:Cavia porcellus supercont2_47 genomic scaffold, whole genome shotgun sequence.